rnacentral:rRNA from 1 species
GACGAACCGUGCGAACGUUGUUCGGAUUCACUGGGCUUAAAGGGCGCGUAGGCGGGCCAUCAAGUCAGGGGGUGAAAUCUUUCGGCUCAACCGGAAAAGUGCCUUUGAUACUGGUGGUCUCGAGGGAGGUAGGGGCAUGCGGAACUUCCGGUGGAGCGGUGAAAUGCGUAGAUAUCGGAAGAACGCCGGUGGCGAAAGCGGCGUGCUGGACCUCUUCUGACGCUGAGGCGCGAAAGCUAGGGGAGCAAACGGGG